GACGAAGGGGGCUAGCGUUGUUCGGAAUUACUGGGCGUAAAGCGCGUGUAGGCGGUUGCCCAAGUCGGGUGUGAAAGCCUUGAGCUCAACUCAAGAAAUGCACUCGGUACUGGGUGACUAGAGGACCGGAGAGGAUAGUGGAAUUCCCAGUGUAGUGGUGAAAUGCGCAGAUAUCAGGAAGAACACCCCGUGGCUAAGGCGACUCUCUAGUACGGUACUGACGCUGAGACGGCGAAAAGCG
rnacentral:rRNA from 1 species